rnacentral:rRNA from 1 species
UGGUGGAGCGAUUUGUCUGGUUUAUUCCGAUAACGAACGAGACUCUGGCCUACUAAAUAGUGGGCGGAUUCUUUCUGUCCGCAACACCUCUUAGAGGGACAAGCGGUGUUCAGCCGCACGAGAUUGAGCAAUAACA